rnacentral:rRNA from 1 species
AUUGAACGCUGGCGGCAUGCCUUACACAUGCAAGUCGAACGGUAACAGGUCUUCGGAUGCUGACGAGUGGCGAACGGGUGAGUAAUACAACGGAACGUGCCCGAUCGUGGGGGAUAACGAAGCGAAAGCUUUGCUAAUACCGCAUACGAUCUACGGAUGAAAGCAGGGGACCGCAAGGCCUUGCGCGAACGGAGCGGCCGAUGGCAGAUUAGGUAGUUGGUGGGAUAAAAGCGUACCAAGCCGACGAUCUGUAGCUGGUAUGAGAGGACGACCAGCCACACUGGGACUGAGACACGGCCCAGACUCCUACGGGAGGCAGCAGUGGGGAAUUUUGGACAAUGGGCGAAAGCCUGAUCCAGCCAUGCCGCGUGCAGGAUGAAAGCCUUCGGGUUGUAAACUGCUUUAGUACGGAACGAAAAGACUCUGGUUAAUACCUGGGGUCCAUGACGGUACCGUAAGAAUAAGCACCGGCUAACUACGUGCCAGCCGCCGCGGUAACAC